rnacentral:rRNA from 1 species
GGGGAAUAUUGCACAAUGGGGGGAAACCCUGAUGCAGCGACGCCGCGUGAGUGAAGAAGUAUUUUCGGUAUGUAAAGCUCUAUCAGCAGGGAAGAAAAUGACGGUACCUGACCAAGAAGCCCCGGCUAACUAC